UGUGGGAGCUGGCUUGCCUGCGAUGGCAUCACCUCGGUGUACCUGUCACACCACAGUGAUGCCAUCGCAGGCAAGCCAGCUCCCACA
rnacentral:misc_RNA from 1 species